rnacentral:lncRNA from 1 species
UAUUUUAUUCAUCAGAUACAUGAGCCAAAGAUCUUAUUUUAUGUUUAUAUCCAUUUCAGAAUCUGAAGGAACAACUGUGAAAAGCCUGUGCAGACACCGUCUGAAAUCCUGUCCCUGUCAAGCAGGAAUCUUUAACCUCUUGUGAUAUAUUGGGUACUCAUGAAGUACACAUAUAUCAUGACAGAUUUGCACUUUUGGAAGUUAAGACUGUGCCCUCAGAAACAGGAUCAGCCCAAGAAGCAGCAGUGAACAUCUCUCCACAAGCCUGCCACCCUCUCAUUGGCGAGAGUACCAGAAUGAGCAGCACUAAGAACUGGAAGCCUGUUCAGGUACUGAAAUACAGCACCGGCUUGUAUAUCUACUGGUUGAAAACCUUGUAGCUUCGCUGAUAGGUGAGAGCAUAAAAACAUGUUUCUGCAAGGCUUUAUCUGGAGGUAAGAGAAAUGCUGUGUAUCAAAUAGAAGUAACUUCUCUCUGAUUUACUCAUGUGGGUUGAGAUCUUAUCCUGCAGCUUAAGAUGACAUAUGCUUGUUAUAUCUGCAUAAGUACAUAGAUUAUUAAAGGUAAUAUUCUUAUCUUGUUUUGUUUCUGUUACUGUAACAUUACAAUACUGUAACGUUAUUUAUUUCAGUAACUUUUUGUGUCAGUGGGUUUCACAGGUUGUAUGAAGAAAUGUUUCCUUUCCUCAGUUAUAAAUUUAAGUAAAUGAAACUGGGUUCUAAAUGUGUGUAUAUAACUCUUGACCUUGC